GAAUGUGCUGGCACUCUGGCUAUAUCUGUAACCCUACUGAUCUCCAGAGUCGAUUUGGAUAGUGUGGCUGGCUAGGCAGGUGUUCUCUCCCUCCCUCACUGCUCCAUGUGUGUCCCUCCUGAAGCUGUGAGCUUGGUCCAAGAGGAAAAUGUUUCCUAGUAGAGAAGGAGCAAUAUUUGAUCAAGAGAGUAUGAAUAGCCACUCUCUCCUGCUAGAACCUCCAAACAAGCACUCAAAAAAAUAUUAAAAGGCUUUAAAGAUGUCUCAGCAGUUAGGAGCUUGUACUGCUCUUUCAGUACACUCAAGUUC
rnacentral:snRNA from 1 species